rnacentral:rRNA from 1 species
ACGGGUGAGUAACACGUGAGUAACCUGCCCUUGACUCUGGGAUAACCUCCGGAAACGGAAGCUAAUACCGGAUAUGACGUACGGAGGCAUCUCCUGUACGUGGAAAGAAUUUCGGUCAAGGAUGGACUCGCGGCCUAUCAGGUAGUUGGUGAGGUAACGGCCCACCAAGCCUACGACGGGUAGCCGGCCUGAGAGGGUGACCGGCCACACUGGGACUGAGACACGGCCCAGACUCCUACGGGAGGCAGCAGUGGGGAAUAUUGCACAAUGGGCGCAAGCCUGAUGCAGCAACGCCGCGUGAGGGAUGACGGCCUUCGGGUUGUAAACCUCUUUUAGUAGGGAAGAAGCGAAAGUGACGGUACCUGCAGAAAAAGCACCGGCUAACUACGUGCCAGCAGCCGCGGUAAUACGUAGGGUGCGAGCGUUGUCCGGAAUUAUUGGGCGUAAAGAGCUCGUAGGCGGUCUGUCGCGUCUGCUGUGAAAACCCGAGGCUCAACCUCGGGCCUGCAGUGGGUACGGGCAGACUAGAGUGCGGUAGGGGAGAAUGGAAUUCCUGGUGUAGCGGUGGAAUGCGCAGA